AUUUUAAUAAAUUUUAAUGAAUCUUAAUAACUUUUAAUGAAAAGGGUCAAUUGAGAGAGAUUUUUAGUAAAAUAUUUUAGUAAUAUAUUUCCAUUAUCUUGGAUGUUUUGUUUUAGAAUGCGCUCCAAUCCAAAAGCAAUAGGUCUGUUUUUUAGCUGAACUUCUUGCACGAUUCAGCAGUCUUCUUUUUCUGUUCAUUGGAGAGAUAAAGAAAAAAGUUCAACUGUGCAACAAGUUCAAUUAAAAAUAAGAGAGCGUUCCCACCGAGCGCGUAACACGUCGCAUCGUUUUUCGCGUCCAAUCAAAACGUCUCAUUUUAUUAUGAUAAAAUAUAAUACAUGUUUUGAAUGAACGCGAAGGACGACGCGACGCAUGACGCGCUCGGUAGAAACGCUUCCUAACGGAUCUAGCACGCUGCCGCGGCACGCGCAGGCGCACGGCUGUAACAUUGGCGUGUCGCGUGCGUGCCACGUGCGACGAAUGCGACGAUCAGUGUUAACUGUGAACCGAGUGUAGUAAGACGUGCGUGUUUAUGAAGUUUAUUUUUUAUUCCUGCACUGCUGUACUAGUGCAAUAAGUUAGAAUAAGAAAAAAUAUAUUUGUCUUAUUCUAACUUAUUACACCAGUGCAGCAGUGUAAGAAUAAAAAACAAACCUUGGACUUCGUUCUGGGCAGUCGACGUGAUCCGACUCCUCUCUCCUAAUAUACAUUAUUAUAAUUCAAUAUCGUUUAAUCAUCGAGUGAAGACAUAAUCGUCUACAAAUACUUGGCAUUCUUCGGCGCCCGUAUUUCUGAAUAAGUCAAAGAUUCCUCAUUAUCAGAAACUUGUGGGGUUAUUCCGGCACCUGGUAAAGAGAGAUAGGCGUUACAAUUUCGCCCGUCACGGUACAGCCAUAUUAGAGGAGUUUGCUGUGUGCUUAUUGAGUAGUUACUUGUAACAAUAUCGAAGAAAAUCCUAAUUGAAUCGCGCCCAUAUAACCUAAGAGUUACUUGUAUACCACGAGGAUCGCUAUUCAAUAAACUGUUGGCCUAUGAAAAGAUAUUAUUUUCAACAAUACCAAAGAAAAUUCCAAUUAAGUUGCCCAUAUAACCAAAGAGUUACUUGUAUACCACGAGGAUCGCUAUUCAAUAAACUGUUGGCCUAUGAAAAGAGAUUAUUUUCAACAAUACCAAAGAAAAUUCCAAUUGAGUUGCCCAUAUAACAAACUCGCCAAUUUCAAAGUUCCGAAGAAAUUGAAACUAUUGACAUUUGGUGUAAUCUUCCACUGAAAGAUGAAAGGAGUCUACAAGAAUUAGAAAUUAAGCUUAAGGAGAACGAAAAUUAUAGGAAAAAAAUGAUUAAAGAGUUUGCAAAUUUAGGAGGCCAAAAUGUGAAAACUUCAGCUUUAAAACUAAUGCGGAAAAUAUUUACAAACGAACUCGCCGUUCAAUAUAGCUGGGUCGGAGGCAAAAAGAAAAAUAUUUUUGUGGACUUAAUGAUAUGCAAAGUUAUACUUAGUGCGUUGAGAAAACAUUAUCAAAAUUCUACGGAGGAAGAACUGUCAGCUCCGAUAAAAAUUUGGCUCGCUCACGCCAAAGAGCGAUGUUCAAAAGCUACGCUUAACACGCAGAAUUAAUUUUGUUUUUCGCAAUUUUUUUGUUGCGCUGUUUCCAAAGUGUAUACUCCCGAGAAAACUGUAUUCUCAGGGAAUUUUAUUAUUUUAUAUAAGUUAUAUAAAAUAAUAAAAUUUCUCCUAUAUUU